GACAUUUCUCCAAAAAGUACAAUCUUUGUCCCCAUGUGCAGUUGCUCUGGAUACAGAUACUUUUGUACCUGUUUCCUCCAGCAUCUUCACAAGGUCCUUUUCACACCAAAGUACGUUCAUCUCUAGGAGACAGAACGUGUCUCCUUCCUGAGUGGUAUGACGGCUGCGUGGUCCCAUGGUGUUUAUACUUGCGUACUAUUGUUUGUACAGAUGAACGUGGUACCUUCAGGUGUUUGGAAAUUGCUCCCAAGGAUGAACCAGACUUCUGGAGGUCUACAAUUUUUUUCUGAGGUCUUGCCCGAUUUAUUUUGAUUUUCCCAUGAUGUCAAGCAAAUAUCUCUGUGAUUAGGCCUAACUACAGGGAUGUCCACAAAGAGACCCAAGAGCACAGCCAGUGUGGACAGUAAGGGGAAGGCCAAAGGACUACCCUUAGGAUGAGCUCCUCCUGGUCUACGGCAGGGACUUAAUCUACGUAUCCAGCUUCUACCUGCUUCUAAAAGUGGAAGCAAAGGACAGGCACCUAAAGGGGACAGUGCUAGUAACAGUGGCUUGACUGCGGCUGGUGCUGUUCCCCUAGUCCAUGGACCUCUCCGACACCUGAAGGACUGGGGACGAAGGAAAGGUAACAGUCUAGUCCCCCCGGACCCUCUGAGCCACCUUCACCACUCAUAUCACCCUCAAUCCCUCCACCAAGACAGUUCAGGGGGCCACCAGGCAGUCAGUGGUGAGGCAUGCCAAGACCUGUGAACAGCCAAGAACCACCGAAUAACAUAAACUACCCGCCAGAAGCCCUCAACCCCAGUAACCCAUCACCAUGACCCUGAAAAUACCAUCAGAACAGAAAGACACACUCCAGAUGGCUGUUCAUGUUUACAUCCCCACUAGGGAAUCCAUCCAUAGAUACCACAAGCGUCCAGCCUUUGCACUUCCUCCAGCACCAGUCCCAGCAUCAACUCAGUUCCCGGUUUCCAGUACCAGACCACGAAACGAGACACAGACCUUCACUUCACAGAUUGUUCUUCCUCCCCUCUACAGACCCGGUACCCAGCCAUGGUUACCAGCCCCUUCGUCAACCCUGGACACAGCAUUGGCCACCACAACUGCCACCUCCACCCAGCCACUGAAUAUACAUUUUUCUAUGGUGUUCAUCAUUUUUUUCAGCAUACCUUUUGAUGAGCAGUUGAUUAGAUUUUUCUGCUAUGAUUUCAUGACUUAUUGAUGUAAUUCCUUAUUAUUUAUUGAACUGUUUAUUUACUGAAUUAUUGAUUAUCUUUUAACUUGAUUGAAAUGUGUACAUGGUUUAACUUAAUAUACAGUAUAAUAUAAAUAAUAUUAACAUUGCUGUUUACAUAUAGUAAUAAAGUGGUAACACAUACACCUCUAUAAACAUCACUGGAACUACAAAUCUUUGCAUCCAGCCUUAGCAUGUACUUGACAGUACAACAAAACUGAUGAACAGGAAUUACAUUUAAUCUACUGGGUAGCCAAAAAAGAUCUACAGUGCCUUGCAAAAGUAUUCACCCCCUUGGUGAUUUUCCUAUUUUGUUGCAUUACAACCUGUUAUUUAAAUGUAUUUUUAUUUGGAUUUCAUGUAAUGGACAUACACAAAAUAGUCCAAAUUGGUGAAGUGAAAUGAAAAAAAAAUACUUUUUUUCAAAAAGAUUAUAUAAAAUAAAAAACGGAAAAGUAGUGCAUGCAUAUGUAUUCACCCCCUUUGCUAUGAAGCCCCUAAAUAAGAUCUGGUGCAACCAAUUACCUUCAGAAGUCACAUAAUUAGUUAAAUAAAGUCCACCUGUGUGCAAUCUAAGUGUCACAUGAUCUUAGUAUGCAUACACCUGUUCUGAAAGGCCCCAGAGUCUGCAACACCACUAAGCAAGGGGCACCACUAAGCAAGAGGCACUAUGAAGGCCAAGGAGCUCUCCAAACAGGUCAGGGACAAAGUUGUGGAGAAGUACAGAUCAGGGUUGGGUUAUAAAAACUAUCAGAAGCUUUGAACAUCCCACAGAGCACCAUUAAAUCCAUUAUUAAAUAAUGGAAAGAAUAUUGCACCACAACAAACCUGCCAAUAGAGGGCUGCCCACCAAAACUCACGAACCAGGCAAGGAGGGCAUUAAUCAGAGAGGCAACAAAGAGACCAAAGAUAACCCUGAAGAAGAUGCAAAGCUCCACAGUGGAGAUUGGAGUAUCUGUCCAUAGGACCACUUUAAGCCAUACACUCCACAGAGCUGGGCUUUACGGAAGAGUGGCCAGAAAAAAAUUAGCAAACAUGUUUGGUGUUCACCAACCCAACACCUCUCAUCACCCAGAGAACACCAUCCCCACAGUGAAGCAUGGUGGUGGCACCAUCAUGCUGUGGGGGAUGUUUUUAAUCGUUAGGGACUGAGAAACUGGUCAGAAUUGAAGGAAUGAUGGGUGGCGCUAAAUACAGGGAAAUUCUUGCGGGAAACCUGUUUCAGUCUUCCAGAGAUUUGAGACUGGGACGGAGGUUCACCUUCCAGCAGGACAAUGACCCUAAGCCUACUGCUAAAGCAACACUUGAGUGGUUUAAGGGGAAACAUUUAAAUGUCUUGGAAUGGCCUAGUCAAAGCCCAGACCUCAAUCCAAUUGAGAAUCUGUGGUAUGACUUAAAGAUUGCUGUACACCAGCAGAACCCAUCCAACUUGAAGGAGCUGGAGCAGUUUUGAGUUGAAGAAUGGGCUAAAAUCCCAGCGGCUAGAUGUGCCAUGCUUAUAGAGACAUACCCCAAGAGACUUGCAGCUGUAAUUGCUUCAAAAGGUGGCUCUACAAAGUAUUGACUUUGGGGUGGUGAAUAGUUAUGCACACUCAAGUUUUCAGUUUUUUUGUCUUAUUUCUUGUUUGUUUCACAAUAAAAAAAUGAAACACCAUUGAUCAAGUGCUUUGAAGUACACUGCUCAGCGAUUUCAACGCAUGCAUCUCAGCUCAGGAAUCAAACUUAACAGCACUAGGAUUUACACAUCCUUUGCACAUCCUUUGCAAGCCAACAUAACUUUUAGGCCUGAUGUGUUUGGUAAACUAUGAGCUUCAGGGCACUGUAUUAGGGUAAAACAAAUGUGUCACUGGGCUACACACAAUACCCCAUAAUGUCAAAGUGUAAUUAAGGUUUUUUGAAAUUUUUACAAAUUAAUAAAAAAUGUAAAGCUGAAAUGUCUAAGUCAAUAAGUAUUCAGGAGUAAACAUUUGCUUAACAAGUCACAUAAUAAGUUGUAUGUACUCAUUCUGUAUGCAAUAAUAGUGUUUCACAUGAUUUUUGGAUGACUACCUUAUCUCUGUACUCCACACGUAUGUGUGGAGUACAGAGAUAAGGAUGGAUCAACAAUGUUGAUAAGGAUGGAUCAACAAUGUUGUGGUCCCGUGUGGCUCAGUUGGUUGGGCAUGGCACUUGCAACGCCAGGGUUUAAUUUCCCCCGGGGACCAGUACGAAUGAAAAUGUAUGUACUCACUACCGUACGUCGCUCUGCAUAUGAGUCUGCUAAAUGACUAAAAUGUAAAAUUCCACAAUACUAACCUAAUUGACAGAGUGAAAAGAAAGAAGUCUGUACAGAAUAAAAACAUUCCAAAACAUGCAUCCUGUUUUUCUAGAAGGCACUAAAGUAAUACUGCAAAAAAAAUGGCAAAACAAUUAACUUUUUGUCCUGAAUACAAAGUGUUAUGUUUGGGGCAAAUCCAAUACAACACAUUACCGAGUACCACUCAAGCACAAGCAUAGUGGUGGCUGCAUCAUGUUAUGGUUUUUCAGG
rnacentral:lncRNA from 1 species